rnacentral:rRNA from 1 species
CCUACGGGAGGCAGCAGUGGGGAAUUUUGGACAAUGGGCGAAAGCCUGAUCCAGCAAUGCCGCGUGCAGGAAGAAGGCCUUCGGGUUGUAAACUGCUUUUGUACGGAACGAAACGGUCUGCUUUAAUACAGUGGGCUAAUGACGGUACCGUAAGAAUAAGCACCGGCUAACUACGUGCCAGCAGCCGCGGUAAUACGUAGGGUGCGAGCGUUAAUCGGAAUUACUGGGCGUAAAGCGUGCGCAGGCGGUUAUAUAAGACAGUUGUGAAAUCCCCGGGCUCAACCUGGGAAUUGCAUCUGUGACUGUAUGGCUAGAGUACGGUAGAGGGGGAUGGAAUUCCGCGUGUAGCAGUGAAAUGCGUAGAUAUGCGGAGGAACACCGAUGGCGAAGGCAAUCCCCUGGACCUGUACUGACGCUCAUGCACGAACGACGGUGGGGAGGACGAACGAGGAGUAGUAUACCUACGGUAGUACCGACCGACCCGUAAACCGAACUAGUACAACUAGGUUGGUUGGGUUGGUCGUAUUAGUUAC